UUUCACCUCACACAACCAAUGGUUUUUAAAAGCUGUAAUGGCGCCAAGUGGUUAUUGUGGUAUUGAGUGUCUUCCCACUUGUUAAACGAGAGGGUCACUUGAAAUACUUGGUAACUUUCAUGAGUCCAAGAAUGCUUCGCUAUAUGUCUUGAAAAGCUCAAAGUACCGCUAAGUUUAAGCCUUUACUGGUCACUCUUUAGCUGGGAAAUUUUCGAGAUUGAAGUAGUCGACAGACUUCUACUACCAAACUUGAUAUCGACUAGCAGUCGUAGCUACUGUCUAAUCGAAAUCUUUGAAC
rnacentral:misc_RNA from 1 species